rnacentral:rRNA from 1 species
UACGGGGGGGGCAAGCGUUGUUCGGAAUUACUGGGCGUAAAGGGCUCGUAGGUGGCCAACUAAGUCACACGUGAAAUCCCUCGGCUUAACCGGGGAACUGCGUGUGAUACUGGAUGGCUUGAGUUUGGGAGAGGGAUGCGGAAUUCCAGGUGUAGCGGUGAAAUGCGUAGAUAUUGGAAGGAACACCGGAGGCGAAAGCGGUGUACUGGGGCUGGUCUGACGCUGAGGCACGAAAGCCAGGGGAGCGAACAGG